GGUGAACGCUGGCGGCGUGCCUAAUACAUGCAAGUCGAGCGAACAGACGAGGAGCUUGCUCCUCUGACGUUAGCGGCGGACGGGUGAGUAACACGUGGAUAACCUACCUAUAAGACUGGGAUAACUUCGGGAAACCGGAGCUAAUACCGGAUAAUAUAUUGAACCGCAUGGUUCAAUAGUGAAAGACGGUUUUGCUGUCACUUAUAGAUGGAUCCGCGCCGCAUUAGCUAGUUGGUAAGGUAACGGCUUACCAAGGCAACGAUGCGUAGCCGACCUGAGAGGGUGAUCAGCCACACUGGAACUGAGACACGGUCCAGACUCCUACGGGAGGCAGCAGUAGGGAAUCUUCCGCAAUGGGCGAAAGCCUGACGGAGCAACGCCGCGUGAGUGAUGAAGGUCUUCGGAUCGUAAAACUCUGUUAUUAGGGAAGAACAAAUGUGUAAGUAACUAUGCACGUCUUGACGGUACCUAAUCAGAAAGCCACGGCUAACUACGUG
rnacentral:rRNA from 1 species